CCAUCAAAUUUUAACUUUGAAGUCCAUGUAUUCUAAUUUCUAAAUCAAACACGAACUGGCUUCACUCUCGGCUCCGAGUCCUUGCACGGCGACGGGGAGAUGACGAAGUGGGAGGGGUACAGAUUUGUUGCCGGAAUCGGAUAGAAUCUCGGCGGGGCCUGUGAUGGUUUGGUCGGAGGAGAGGAGGAGAUGGGAGAUUUGAUUUGUGCUAAUUGCGAAACUGUUGAUGAACAGAUGAAGACUUAGAACUAGGUUAAUUACCAUGGAAGAGCUAAACUCUGAUCAAGGAGGAGAUGAGUUUGCCAUUGAUGGAUAGUUACCCCUCCAUCUGUUUCUACCUCUCAACCUCGGUCCCACUUCUUGUUUCACAAACUCACAGUAACGUUAACGACCAACUCACAAUAACAGAAAAUGGAAGGCCAUGGUUGCUCCGGACCCACUCAGCCAUAAAUCAACGGUGAAGAUGCCCAUGUGGAAAUCCACCCCGGGUGGAUAGCAGAAUUUUCCGUAAAUUAAUAGCGAUGUCCGGGUGUUUAUGAUGCCUGGGGAGUCCCUAAAAGAGGAAGUGAGAGACCACUGAUUGCAUAACAGAAUGGGCAGUCUAUACAUCGAUUUGGCAAAUCGCUUUUACUCUCUGCCCAAUGUACUAGGUCACAUGCUUGUGUCUAGUGUUUAGUUUAACCCUAAACUCUGUUUUUCACUAAACAAAAAAUUUCUUUUUAUUUUUGGUCUCUCUCUGCAGCACUUGAUUUAUUAUUCUGACACAUGCACACAUGCAACAUGCAUAGAGUUAUGACUCAACAAACCAUUAUAUGCAUGAAUUGAAUACUAGUUAUGAAAUAUGCAAGACACAUAGAGAUUUGAUAAUUUUCUGAAAUAUUGGACUAAUUUAUAAAUUAAUUAGGUGAGGAUUUAAUGAAUUAAUUAAUUUCUACCACGUCUCUUUUUGGUAAUGGUAAUAUUAUUUCAACCCCUACCUUGGAUCCCCUAUAUUGCAGACCUUAGGGUUAAGAUAGAUGGAAGCCGCAAAACAACAAAGGAAGAAGAAGAUGCAGAUCGAGCUACCAUGGUAUGACCUCCGAAGGCAAAAACGUAGGCAUGUGGUGAGGCCACGUAACCCUUCCUUGGCAUGUAUAAGAUGAUCGGAAUCGAGAAAGAGAGAAUGGCCUGCCGGCCGGCCUGGUUCUCGUUCAAGGCUAUAGCUUCUUUCUGGAUUUGCCGCGGUAGCUUGGAUCGUGAUCUAGAGUUUGGUUCUCUGAUUUUGGGUUCAGUUUCCGAGAUGAAGAAUAAGAACAAGAGAUGCAGGAGCGUCCGGGAAAGCUGAAGAGGAAGGGAGGGUGAGGCGUCGAUGGCUGGCUUGCGAACAACAUGUUUAUAUGAUCCCCUUGCUGCUGAGAGAGGGUUCUCUUCGUUUCUGAGGACACUCCAGACAGACUGAGUUGUCGAAGCGAAGGACGUUCAUCUCCCACCUUUAAAACAGGUUCUUCUCCCUUUUAUCUAUUUCUUUGUCUUUAAUCAUGUGUAGGCCGUUUUUGCUCGUGACUUUUCAGGACAGCAUGUCUUGUUUUUACAGUCUAGUUUUGUUCCUUUCUUUUUCUUUUCUUAUAAUUAUAGUGCUCAAUCAUGUCAACUCUAGCAUAUAUGAGCAUAUAUCUAGCAUUCUAAGUUUAGCAUCGACCAAAAUCUUUAUCAAACCCGAGAUAAAACAAUUGACAUUAUGAUUUCUAGUACAUGAAGAGAAAUUUUGAUAAAUUACAAAAAAGAAUUCAAAGAAGGACAACUUGCCCACAAUCAAUACACAUAGUUGCCUCAAUUCCAUCUAUAGAUUUUAGCUUUACCUACCUAGACCUCCCCACGAAUUCCAUUGCAUCUGAAGCCGGAAGAGAGUGAGAGAGGCCUACCACGAUGAAGUCUAGAGUCCGAUAUGGGAGAUGGGGGUGGGAUAGAGAUAACAGAAAAAAAGGGAACAUGCAUAGUUUCCCACCGAAAAGUGCAUGAAUUCAGAUAUUGACCAAAUGUAACAUUCGGUGUUGGGGGGGGGGGGGGGGGGGCGGAAGAGAUUCCCACCGAAAAGUGCAUGAAUUCAGAUAUUGACCAAAUGUAACAUUCGGUGGAGGGAGGAAGGGAGGGAGGGUCCAUAGUUUCUGACCGGAAAGUGCAUGAAUUCAGAUAUUGACCAAAUGUAACAUUAGGUAGCUUCCCAUUGAAAAUUAGCUCCAUUUUCAACGGUCUCCAAUUGAGAGUUAUGCAAUUGGAGAUGGGAGACCAAAAGUGAUGCAAUAAUUCAGUACUCUGCCAUAAGUGGCGUGGUGGGUUAACCUAAGCUAAGUCAUACAUCUGCCUCACGUUUCAGGUUAGCAUAUUUGAAGGAAAAUAUGAAUAUAAAAUUAAUAAAAUUCCCAUGCAGAGGUUUAGAAUGGCUCAGAGAGGCAACAAAAGUUGGAACCUUGAUAAACCCUACUCUGGCCCAAAGUGGUGAAAACCAUAUAUCUUUAUGUGCAUGAUGAUCUUCUGGAUAUAGUUUAGAGGUGUUAAAUAGUGGACUCGAUCCAAUUUUAGUAGCAUUCAGGGCUUCAGGCUUCGUGCCAUGCUCGGGCCAUCCCUUUUAGCUUUGUUUGAAUCACUCUAGGAAACAGUACUAGGUCCAACCCUAGUGGCAGCUGAGCCAACAUUUUGCCGGGCUAAUGAACAGUUUGAGUUCAGGGCCAAACCUCUAUUCCUCAUUGGCUGGAGUCAUCUUAGAUUUUGAUGCAUCGAUGUCAUCUAUAGAUUUUGUAGCAUUCCAGCCUAUAGGUUCCCAUUUUUGCAUAGGGGUCUCUUUGUUUUUUUUUUUUUUUUUUUUUUGAAACUUUUAAAAUCCAAUUUCAGGGCCCUAUAGAAAAGAAAAAUAGUUUAUCCCCAUUCACUCAGAUCCCGACGAAAGAAGAGAUAGAAAGUUGAGUAUAGUCAGCCUCGUCUUGUCAAACCACUAGAUUUACAUGGUAGAGGAGAAAGAGAGAAGGGAUAUACACAAUUUCAGCAUUGUCCUAUUGAAAAUUGUGCAAGAAUGGAGCAAGGAGUGGCCGAAUGUAACCAUUGAAAUUUCGUGUUAUUUUCGGUGGAGUGCAACCAGAAGUUAUACAAUAAUUUGUUGAGAGAAUGGAAGUGGUAGAAUAAUUCGCCAAUUCGGUUGCCUCCCACCUAAAAUAGUUUUGCCGGAGGUGGCAGCGCUGGUGAUAACAAAGGUGGAUGAUGUUGCUGGAAGUUUCGCAUUUUUGAUAUCGAGGCAAAUAUGAAUAUCAAAUGAGAAAAUUUGGAUACGGUACUAAGGAGAGCUAAAUGAGCCAGAUAUGGCAAAUAAGAAGUACCACCUUUUUUUUUCUUUUUUCUUUUUUUUGAGGAAAAGAAGAAGUACCACUUUUUUCUGUAUGAAAAAAGAAAAUUGAGGAACAUAAAAAUAAUGAGAAAAUGAGGGUACACAGCAUUGCAAGCCCAAGCCCACUCUUGGACCCAAACCCAGUACCAGCACAUGUAUAUAUAGUAGCUUUGCUCUAGAAAACUUGGCCUAUUCAGAUUUAGCAGCCUCCCUUUCUCUCUCUCUCUCUCUCUCUCUCCCCCUCCCUCCCCCCUGCGAACGAUGUCACCAUUUUGCCCUAACUGUGACCGAGAACCUGAGUUUUGGGGUGCUGAAGUGAAAUCCGGCGAGAAGUUGAAAGUGAAGCCAGAUGACUGCGUGGUUUUGCAUCUCACACAGGCAUGUGUGGGCUUAAAUCAAAGAUGUCAUGGCGUCGUUUAUGUGAGCAUCGGGGAAGAGAGAAGAGUCUUGGGAAGUCUCUUGCCACCAAGAGUACCUCAAUUUUCCUGCGAUCUGGUCUUUGACCAAGAAUUUCUGCUUUCACACAACUUGGAGAUGGGAAGCGUCUUCUUUGCCGGUUAUUCUUGCUUUAGUAAAAA